UACGUAGGGGGCAAGCGUUGUCCGGAAUCAUUGGGCGUAAAGAGCGUGUAGGCGGUCCGGUAAGUCGGCUGUGAAAGUCCAGGGCUCAACCCUGGGAUGCCGGUCGAUACUGCCGGACUAGAGUUCGGAAGAGGCGAGUGGAAUUCCCGGUGUAGCGGUGAAAUGCGCAGAUAUCGGGAGGAACACCAGUGGCGAAGGCGGCUCACUGGACCGGUACUGACGCUGAGGCGCGAAAGCGUGGGGAGCGAACAGG
rnacentral:rRNA from 1 species